UGGUGUGAGGGCAGUCUGUCAGUGAUAUCUCUCACACCAUUGAUGUCCAUGAUUGACUUGACUGGUGUUGCUGCUAGGCAAGUGUUCCCUUCCUCCCUUAUCACACUGCAUGCAUCAGUCCCAAAGAUGGACACUUGUCAGAGAGGACAACUUCCCCAAAUAGAGAAGGACCAGUCUUUGGCCAAGGGUAUACAAGUAGUUGCACUCCUCUGUUAGACCCUCCAAAUAGAGUCUCAAAGUUAUCUUUUAUUGUGUGCCUUCAUGUAGCCGUCUCACUCUCAAGGCACUCUUUUCCUCAGUUUCCCAUUGAC
rfam:Cricetulus griseus cell line CHO-K1, whole genome shotgun sequence.